GUUUCAUUUUCAAGGUCCAAUAGC
rnacentral:miRNA from 1 species